rnacentral:lncRNA from 1 species
CCUAAUAAGAAUCUAAAUAAACGUGCUUCACUAUAAUUAGUAACCAAGAUAUUAACUUAGUUACAAAACUCAUAUAUCUCUAUCUUAGGAGCAUCUACAUAGCAUUUUCCCAUGGAUUAUUCUUCUUCCCAAUAUUAAUUUUGCCCCAAUAAGUAGUCUUUGUGAUGUUGCUUCUCUUUUUAUUGGAAAAAAAAACCUUCAAGCAUGUCUUCUAAGAUCUGGUUCAGCUUCUCUUCACUUAUUCUUUCCCUUGCAAGCUGCAAUCUUAAGGCUUCUCUUCACCUGUAAAAUUAAUGUUGAAUAUUAGAAUAAGAACAGUUAUGCUAUAUCCAUAAAUAAUGUCAAAUAUCAUCCCUUACCAUGCGGGCUCUCUUCAGCAGCAACAGCACCGCCAUUUACAGUGAUGCUACUAACCUCAACAACUUCACUAUUGCAGCAACAAUAGCAACACCAGCUUCAGCAUCUUCAGCAAUCACUCCAUCUCCAUCUCCAUGGUUUGUUGGAGAGCAAACCAUCUGUGCCAUCUUGGUUUCAUCAUCAGCCACCAACUCAGGCUUCC